rnacentral:rRNA from 1 species
UACAGAGGUCCCAAGCGUUGUUCGGAUUUAUUGGGCGUAAAGGGUGCGUAGGCGGCGGAGUAAGUUGGGUGUGAAAUCCCGGGGCUCAACCUCGGAAUUGCAUUCAAUACUGCUUCGCUCGAGUACUGGAGAGGAGGCUGGAAUUUACGGUGUAGCAGUGAAAUGCGUAGAUAUCGUAAGGAAGGCCGGUGGCGAAAGCGAGCCUCUGGACAGUUACUGACGCUGAUGCACGAAGGCCAGGGGAGCAAACGGG